AUACGUAAGGGGCGAGCGUUGUCCGGAUUCACUGGGCGUAAAGGGCGCGUAGGCGGCGAUACAAGUCAGAGGUGAAAGCUAUGGGCUCAACCCAUAAACGGCCUUUGAAACUGUAUUGCUUGAGUAUUGCAGAGGAAAGUGGAAUUCAUGGUGUAGCGGUGAAAUGCGUAGAUAUCAUGGAGAACACCUAUGGCGAAGGCAGCUUUCUGGGCAAAUACUGACGCUGAGGCGCGAAAGCUAGGGUAGCGAACAGAAUUAGAAACCCCAGUAGUCC
rnacentral:rRNA from 1 species